rnacentral:ncRNA from 2 species
AAUGCUAGGGGUGCCAUAAGGCUGAGAAAUAAAUUAUUAUUAACCCUUGUACCUGAUCUGGAUAAUACCAGCGUAGGAAAGCUUAUUAA